GAACGGUGUCUUCGGACACAGUGGCGGACGGGUGAGUAACGCGUGAGAAUCUGCCAUCAGGUCUGGGACAACCACUGGAAACGGUGGCUAAUACCGGAUGUGCCCUUCGGGGUGAAAGGUUAACUGCCUGUUGAUGAGCUCGCGUCUGAUUAGCUAGUUGGUGUGGUAAGAGCGCACCAAGGCGACGAUCAGUAGCUGGUCUGAGAGGACGAUCAGCCACACUGGGACUGAGACACGGCCCAGACUCCUACGGGAGGCAGCAGUGGGGAAUUUUCCGCAAUGGGCGAAAGCCUGACGGAGCAAUACCGCGUGAGGGAGGAAGGCUCUUGGGUCGUAAACCUCUUUUCUCAGGGAAGAACACAAUGACGGUACCUGAGGAAUAAGCAUCGGCUAACUCCGUGCCAGCAGCCGCGGUAAUACGGAGGAUGCAAGCGUUAUCCGGAAUGAUUGGGCGUAAAGCGUCCGCAGGUGGCUAUGUAAGUCUGCUGUUAAAGAGUCUAGCUCAACUAGAUAAGAGCAGUGGAAACUACAAGGCUAGAGUGCGUUCGGGGCAGAGGGAAUUCCUGGUGUAGCGGUGAAAUGCGUAGAGAUCAGGAAGAACACCAGUGGCGAAGGCGCUCUGCUAGGCCGCAACUGACACUGAGGGACGAAAGCUAGGGGAGCGAAUGGGAUUAGAUACCCCAGUAGUCCUAGCCGUAAACGAUGGAUACUAGGCGUGGCUUGUAUCGACCCGAGCCGUGCCGUAGCUAACGCGUUAAGUAUCCCGCCUGGGGAGUACGCCGGCAACGGUGAAACUCAAAGGAAUUGACGGGGGCCCG
rnacentral:rRNA from 1 species